rnacentral:piRNA from 1 species
CCCUAAGAUUAUGACCGUCCUCGG